AGUAUGUCUACACGAUAACAGCAACAUGGGAAAAAGUCAUCGACAGUCAGAGAAUACUAGAGAAUCCAAGACUUAGCAAUACCAGCUGCCCUAUGCUUUGGAAGAUGAUCUGGAGCCGUUAUGCUUGAAAAGGUAGUUCGCUCAGCUGUUGAGAUCACUCUCUUGGUGUGCUGCUUUGUGUCUGACAGGAGGAGUAACAACCAGCCUCCGAGAUGAGGACUAAUUCCAGCACUUGUGAAAGACGCUGGGGAAGAUUAAAGACAACUGGAGAAUUCACUGGAGUGGCAUAAAAAAAAAAUUAUCUGAGUGACGUAUUGAUUAAUGAAGCCACUCCUAGAAACCAAUGAAAAUCAUUAAAGAAUAUU
rnacentral:lncRNA from 1 species